rnacentral:rRNA from 1 species
AUGAACGCUGGCGGCGUGCCUAAUACAUGCAAGUCGAGCGAACAGACGAGGAGCUUGCUCCUCUGACGUUAGCGGCGGACGGGUGAGUAACACGUGGAUAACCUACCUAUAAGACUGGGAUAACUUCGGGAAACCGGAGCUAAUACCGGAUAAUAUAUUGAACCGCAUGGUUCAAUAGUGAAAGACGGUUUUGCUGUCACUUAUAGAUGGAUCCGCGCCGCAUUAGCUAGUUGGUAAGGUAACGGCUUACCAAGGCAAAGAUGCGUAGCCGACCUGAGAGGGUGGUCGGCCACACUGGAGCUGAGCCACGGUCCAGACUCCUACGGGAGGCAGCAGUAGGGAAUCUUCCGCAAUGGGCGAAAGCCUGACGGAGCAACGCCGCGUGAGUGAUGAAGGUCUUCGGAUCGUAAAACUCUGUUAUUAGGGAAGAACAAAUGUGUAAGUAACUAUGCACGUCUUGACGGUACCUAAUCAGAAAGCCACGGCUAACUACGUG